rnacentral:rRNA from 1 species
CCUACGGGUGGCAGCAGUGAGGAAUAUUGGUCAAUGGGCGCGAGCCUGAACCAGCCAAGUCGCGUGAGGGAAGACGGCCCUACGGGUUGUAAACCUCUUUUGCCGGGGAGCAACGGGCGCCACGUGUGGCGCCACUGAGAUUACCCGGAGAAAAAGCAUCGGCUAACUCCGUGCCAGCAGCCGCGGUAAUACGGAGGAUGCGGGCGUUAUCCGGAUUGAGUGGGUUUAAAGGGUGCGUAGGGGGAGCGUUAAGUCAGUGGUAAAAUUGAGGGGCUCAACCCCUGCCCGCCAUUGAAACUGGCGCUCUUGAGUGGAAGAGAAGUAUGCGGAAUGCGUGGUGGAGCGGUGAAAUGCAUAGAUAUCACGCAGAACCCCGAUUGCGAAGGCAGCAUGCCGGCUUCCGACUGACGCUGAAGCACGAAAGCGUGGGGAUCGAACAGGAUUAGAUACCCGUGUAGUC